rfam:Streptomyces sp. AS58 P432contig73.1, whole genome shotgun sequence.
GCCGGUCCUCGGUAGUGGCCCCCGGGGGAGUGCCCCGGGUGCUUCGAUCGAAGACCGGC